CCUCCGGGAGUCAGCAGUGAGGAAUAUUGGUCAAUGGACGAGAGUCUGAACCAGCCAAGUAGCGUGAAGGAUGACUGCCCUAUGGGUUGUAAACUUCUUUUAUAUGGGAAUAAAAUGUUCCACGUGUGGGAUUUUGUAUGUACCAUAUGAAUAAGGAUCGGCUAACUCCGUGCCAGCAGCCGCGGUAAUACGGAGGAUCCGAACGUUAUCCGGAUUUAUUGGGUUCAAAGGGAGCGUAGGUGGAUUGUUAAGUCAGUUGUGAAAGUUUGCGGCUCAACCGUAAAAUUGCAGUUGAAACUGGCAGUCUUGAGUACAGUAGAGGUGGGCGGAAUUCGUGGUGUAGCGGUGAAAUGCUUAGAUAUCACGAAGAACUCCGAUUGCGAAGGCAGUUCACUGGACUGCAACUGACACUGAGGCUCGAAAGUGUGGGUAUCAAACAGGAUUAGAUACCCUUGUAGUC
rnacentral:rRNA from 1 species